GGUCUCGUAGUGUAGCGGUUAACACGCCUGCCUGUCACGCAGGAGAUCGCGGGUUCGAUCAUGUGUCGGCAGUUCGACUCUGUCCUGAACCA
rnacentral:tRNA from 1 species